rnacentral:rRNA from 1 species
GACGAACGCUGGCGGCGUGCUUAACACAUGCAAGUCGAACGGAAAGGCCCUGCUUUUGUGGGGUGCUCGAGUGGCGAACGGGUGAGUAACACGUGAGUAACCUGCCCUUGACUUUGGGAUAACUUCAGGAAACUGGGGCUAAUACCGGAUAGGAGCUCCUGCUGCAUGGUGGGGGUUGGAAAGUUUCGGCGGUUGGGGAUGGACUCGCGGCUUAUCAGCUUGUUGGUGGGGUGGUGGCUUACCAAGGCUUUGACGGGUAGCCGGCCUGAGAGGGUGACCGGCCACAUUGGGACUGAGAUACGGCCCAGACUCCCACGGGAGGCAGCAGUGGGGAAUAUUGCACAAUGGGCGGAAGCCUGAUGCAGCAACGCCGCGUGCGGGAUGACGGCCUUCGGGUUGUAAACCGCUUUCGCCUGUGACGAAGCGUGAGUGACGGUAAUGGGUAAAGAAGCACCGGCUAACUACGUG